AUGGAGCCGACCUUGAAAUACCACCCUUUAAUGUUUGAUGUUCUAACGUUGACCCGUGAUCCGGGUUGCGGACAGUGUCUGGUGGGUAGUUUGACUGGGGCGGUCUCCUCCUAAAGAGUAACGGAGGAGCACGAAGGUUGGCUAAUCCUGGUCGGACAUCAGGAGGUUAGUGCAAUGGCAUAAGCCAGCUUGACUGCGAGCGUGACGGCGCGAGCAGGUGCGAAAGCAGGUCAUAGUGAUCCGGUGGUUCUGAAUGGAAGGGCCAUCGCUCAACGGAUAAAAGGUACUCCGGGGAUAACAGGCUGAUACCGCCCAAGAGUUCAUAUCGACGGCGGUGUUUGGCACCUCGAUGUCGGCUCAUCACAUCCUGGGGCUGAAGUAGGUCCCAAGGGUAUGGCUGUUCGCCAUUUAAAGUGGUACGCGAGCUGGGUUUAGAACGUCGUGAGACAGUUCGGUCCCUAUCUGCCGUGGGCGCUGGA
rnacentral:rRNA from 1 species